UUUGUAUUACCCACGUGAUAUACUAAAAUUGGAAAGAUACAGAGAAGACAAGCAUGGCCCCUGUGCAAGAAUGACACGCAAAAUUCGCGAAGCUUUCCAUAUCUUU
rnacentral:snRNA from 1 species